rnacentral:rRNA from 1 species
GAUGAACGCUGGCGGCGUGCCUAAUACAUGCAAGUCGAGCGAACAGACGAGGAGCUUGCUCCUCUGACGUUAGCGGCGGACGGGUGAGUAACACGUGGAUAACCUACCUAUAAGACUGGGAUAACUUCGGGAAACCGGAGCUAAUACCGGAUAAUAUAUUGAACCGCAUGGUUCAAUAGUGAAGGACGGUUUUGCUGUCACUUAUAGAUGGAUCCGCGCCGCAUUAGCUAGUUGGUAAGGUAACGGCUUACCAAGGCGACGAUGCGUAGCCGACCUGAGAGGGGGAACGGCCCCACGGAAACUGAGAAAGGGUCCGAACCCCUAGGGGGGGCAGAGGUGGGAAAUCUUCCGAAAUGGGGGAAGGCCUACCGGGGCAACGCCGGGGGGGGAAUAAAGGUCUUCGGACCGUAAAACUUUGUUUUUGGGAAAAAACAAAUUUGAAAGUAACUAUGCCCGUUUUGACGGUACCAAAUAAGAAGGCCAGGCCAAACUACGG